AAACAGAUUGGAGGUCUGAUUUUCUUUUGCUCUUGUCCAGUCUAUAGUUCAAAGACUUACUCUGAAGUUUGUUUCGUCUUCCCUACAGUGAAUUUAAUAACAUAGGAAUAAAAAUGAAAUCUGCAAAUCCAAAUCAAAGCACAACACCUGCAUCUCCAUGUAUCACUUUCUGAAGAAAUAGGGAAAGUGAUACGCUAUCUGCUCAUUUGCAGGGCUUCUGUGCUCUCGAAGAGCAAAGGCUAUGCAUCAAAACCUGCAAACACUUCCACUCCUAAAUUAAAGUAGAAUUGAUGACUUAAAACCGAAAGGAACUUCAGCAGAUUAGCAAAUAAGAUGUCAACGAGAGACUAAACGGUAAAGGCUUGGCUCCUGAUGUAGCUGAAGUAGUUGGGGUAGUUUCAUUAAAUUCAGUGGGGCUAAGGGGACUAAUGCUGGCCAAGGAUCUGGCUCCUAGCUUUUUCCCAGCUGCAAGUCUUAGUUUAGGCUGUUGCCAAGAGGUUAACACUGUGAUAAUAGAAUGAGAAAGUAUUUAUAUAAUUAUAUAUCUCUAUAUACCUGUAUUUAAAGAACACUUUGCUACUUAGGACUUCUGUCAUUUUAAAAUCCGUAAUUUUAAAACAAAAUUAUUUCAGAAGAGCAGCAGAACCUCUUGAGUAAACUACAGACUCUCUCACCCACUCCUAGGCCACUUACUGUCCUAGAAGCAAGUGUAAAAGUUAUUUCUAAAUGCUAUUUCUUAAAACACAGGGUGCAACUAAAUAAGUAAGGCUCCCAAGGGUCUCUAAGAAGCCUGUGAGUCAAUACAUAGGCAUGGAGUAACAGCAAAUCAACAAUUCUAAAAAAGGUGCUUCAUAAGUUAAGGAAAAUAAAAAUACAAAGCCUCAGACUUACCACAAAAGGCCCUCAGACUUAUGAAACUAAACUGCUGUAAUGUGGUACAGUGUUAAGACAUAUAUUUUGUUUUUAUUUUUUUUUUCUUUAAAUUUACAUUCUAGAGGGGCAAUACACACUGAACCCAGGAAAACAGCUCACCCUAAAAAGUAAUUUUGAAAGGAACAUUGACUUUCAUUCAUGCUCCUAAAUCCCUAAUAGUUUUGCUUUAAAA
rnacentral:lncRNA from 1 species